rnacentral:rRNA from 1 species
UGGGGAAUCUUGCCCAAUGGGCGAAAGCCUGAGGCAGCAACGCCGCGUGUGGGAUGACGGCCCUCGGGUUGUAAACCACUUUCAGUAGGGACGAAAUUGACGGUACCUACAGAAGAAGCUCCGGCCAACUACGUGCCAGCAGCCGCGGUAAUACGUAGGGAGCGAGCGUUGUCCGGAUUUAUUGGGCGUAAAGCGCGCGUAGGCGGUUUGGUAAGCCGGGUGUGAAACCCUCGAGCUCAACUCGGGGCGGCCACUCGGAACUGCUAUGACUUGAGUCUGGUAGGGGAACACGGAAUACCUGGUGUAGCGGUGAAAUGCUUAGAUAUCAGGUGGAACACCAGUGGCGAAGGCGGUGUUCUGGGCCAGUACUGACGCUGAGGCGCGAAAGCGUGGGGAGCGAAC